CCCCUGUGAUGAUGCAUUGCUAUGCUUAUACUGACAUACCAGGUAGGAGGCUGUAAAACUGUUUUGUGUGUUACAAUGAAUUCUGCUUCUCAGAAAUUUAUCUAGAGGC
ensembl:snoRNA SNORD9 small nucleolar RNA, C/D box 9